GUACGGAGGGUGCAAGCGUUGUCCGGAUUUAUUGGGUUUAAAGGGUGCGUAGGUGGCUAUUUAAGUCUGUGUUGAAAUAUGUCGGCUCAACCGACAGACUGGCAUGGAUACUGUAAGACUUGAGUAUAAUUGAGGUAGGCGGAAUUAGUGGUGUAGCGGUGAAAUGCUUAGAUACCACUAGGAACACCGAUAGCGAAGGCAGCUUACCAAGUUAUUACUGACGCUCAGGCACGAAAGCGUGGGGAGC
rnacentral:rRNA from 1 species